UACUAGCCUGAGUAUACUUGUCUAUAUU
rnacentral:sRNA from 1 species